AGAGUGAGACAGAAUUCUGAGCGUUUGAUGCAUUGUCCGGAUCACUAAUCUGACGGAGGAGGACCAGCCGUUAUGACAUCACUGACCACACUCAAUGACAUCAUCAUCAUCAUCAUCAUCGUCACGUGGAAGUCCAGUUGCCACAGAGACGUUGUUGUCAUGGAGAUGCACAUAUCUUGCCUUCGAAGGGUUUUGUGCUAUAGAUGAGGGAAAGGACAAGCAAGUGCACACGCAUUAUUUUUCACAGGAUAAAAGCGUACCGAUGGACUGCAUUAUAGGAGCUGCGCUCGGUCUGAACUGGACUCCUGGUUCUUGUGGGAUUUACCGUACGUGACGUGGUGAAACUCGUGACGCUUGUGAAGGGGUGGAUCUGUCCUGCUUUUGACGGCUGACAGAGACAAACAUUCCGGCACCGGUUCAAGGAAACGCAGGCAUGAGUGCAAAACUCCAUCAACAGAACAAUCGCUGUCAUUUUUAAAAAAAAGUCUUUAAAAAAUAAAAAUGCGCAGAAAAGAAUCGCCAUAUGAAAACAUGUACUAGAAAACUGUCAAUAUGCUUCUGACUCAUGAAUACAGUUAUACAAUGGAG